GGGAAACCGGAGCUAAUACCGGAUAAUAUUUUGAACCGCAUGAUUCAAAAGUGAAAGACGGUCUUGCUGUCACUUAUAGAUGGAUCCGCGCUGCAUUAGCUAGUUGGUAAGGUAACGGCUUACCAAGGCAACGAUGCAUAGCCGACCUGAGAGGGUGAUCGGCCACACUGGAACUGAGACACGGUCCAG
rnacentral:rRNA from 1 species